AUUCGACCUCAAAUCAGGUAGGACUACCCGCUGAACUUAAGCAUAUCAAUAAGGGGUAA
rnacentral:rRNA from 1 species